CACACACACACACUGCAUAGUUACAAAGAACACUAGGAACUAUUCAUUUGUCUACAUGGUAACACCGUUUGGGACCCAAUUUAGUUUGUGGUUGGAAUUUGUGAACCCAAGGGCGGAGCUCCUGAGGGUGUCUCGUGAGUGAGCAAUGCCACAAGGAGGAACUGAGGGGCGUGUCCUCCACUGCCCCUCUUCUGGGGUGAUGAAGUAGACAAGGCAGAAGCCUCAUGCUGCUGGAGAGCAGGCAUUCGUAUGCCCUUCCACACCUCUGUGGAUGUGGACCACAGCAAUCUAAGAGGGUGAACUCCUCCUGCCUUGGGGCCAGCAGGCUGAGAAAACACUAGGAAUCAGUGUGGACAGUUGCGGAGAGAAUCCGAUGGGCUCAGAUGGCGAUGGCCUGUAAGUCGAGCCCAGUUCUAGUGCAACACAGAACACUAGACUCAGGCAGACGUUUUGUUGUUGAUAUGAAGAUAUGUCAACUGCAAGGAAAGAAGGGAAUCGGAUCCAAGUUCCCCCAAAUGGGGAAGCAUCAAACUCAUUCCAAGGCAGAGGACUAAGGAAUGGCCCUUCAUGGAAAGCACCACAGGACUAGCCUGUGGCUUCGUUUCUGAGAAGGAAAGGUGAGGGUGCACGGCCAAGGACCAUGUAGGCAGGUGGCGCAAACGUCUCAAAGUUACUUCAUAAAACAGCAUAAGAUGGUCCAACAGCGCUGCAGAGAAACACCACCAGAGACUGGGAAUCGGGGGAAACUUGGGAAGUCGGCUGCUUAAUUUUAGAGCAGAUGACAAGAAUGAUGUGGCCUGCUGCUUACAGGAAUGAUGACCUGCGGGGCUGCCCCACAGUGUGGGCCAUUUUGCAGAAACAAUAACAAAAAUCCAGAUGACUAGAGCUGAGGAAAUGUCAACCACUUCAUUGUCAGAGUGGAAGAAGAUCAAUUCCACGAAAUCAUUUAUAAGUCCGCUGGACACGGCAUUAAUUUUAACCAGGUAUCGUUAGAUGGUGAGAGAGGGCCCGUCUCAGACAAUAGGGUAGAAGUUGAUAGAGCAGGACACACUCUGGCCGGCAACCCACUCGUACACACCCACAUGUGCACACCCACACACUAAAAUGUUGCUCUUAGCCAAUACGUGAAAACAUGUACUCAGAGAGUAAAAUACGUUUUACAGAUGUUACUUUCUACAUUUAAGUCAAGAAUAAAAUUGCUCAUGAUUGAACCUGGGCAUUCAUAACGUUUUGUUUCCGUUACCUCGACCUUCUUCUCCUGACCCACACAGAGUGGUGUCGCUUCAGGCUUUAACGGGCGAGAAGCGGAGCUCAGGGCCACGCUUAUCCACCUCAGUAGAAGCUACACACACAGAAGCUAACGAACACACCAGACCUUAAGAUGUUAUAUGGGCAAAUUUGUUUCAGAAUUCUUUUUCUUUUCUUUUCUUUUUUUUGGAGCUGGGGACCGAACCCAGGGCCUUGCGCUUGCUAGGCAAGCACUCUACCACUGAGCUAAAUCCCCAAUCUCCAGAAUUCUUUUUUGUUGCAGAGUAUGCGUUUUCUUUAGUUUUAAAGCUGUAUGUUGUGAUCUGGGCGCAUUUUAAACGGGCUUCUGUAAUUUGGAUUGCCCAUCUUUUAUGGGAUCCUUCCUUCACAAGCUAAGUGUGAUUUUUGACCCAGCAGUGGCUUAGGGCUGUCUGCUUCGGUAUUGCAUCCACACCUCUGAACACGAUGCUACAUUUUCAUCUCCUGGUGGAAGCCACACCUGCUUGCGCCCUCAUUAGGAGUCCAGUCUCUGGAAGCUGUGCCCUUAGGCCCAGCUGGAGUGCCUGUUUGCAUACUCUGUCCUAUUCUCUUGGACCUCAUUUUACUUUUCCCUCAACUCCCAUAUUUUACUUUUACUCGUUUUGAAAGGGGGUGCUCCUUUCAGGCAAUGAGUCUCUGGAUUCGGUCCCUUUGUGCGCGAAAUCACUAGUGGCAAGGAAAUGUGGGAAGCCCAGACCCACGCUGCGUCCCUGGGGCAUCACCUUUCAUUUUUAUUUUAUUUUCCUCUCACUCCCAGAAAGAUCCUGCUCUCCAGAAUGCUUGGUCUUUUCUAUGAGGAGAUACAAAUAUCUUAACACUUCCCAAACACUAUAUAUAAAUAUAAUAUAUAUUACAUGUAUAUAUAUGCUUGUCAAGGUAAAUUCCGUGUGUCUCACUACCAGGUUGCCUAGUUCCUUAAAAUCCUUUCCGUACUUACUUAUUUCAUCACUCGGUUUGUUGAAGGCUGACAUAAGACUUCCCUCUGUUAUUGUGUGUGACCAAAUUAUUUCAUAUGCUUUAAUAUUUUCUAUUCAGAAAAAAUACCCAUGUGUGUGAUAUUUCUAAUGUUUUCCAUAUUAAAUUCUAGAUUGAUUAAUGUUGAUAUCACCGUUCUUUCUUUCCUGUGUGUUUUCUUGGCAUUCCUGUGUUCCCCCGAUCCGUCCCAUUUUGUGUAACACAGAAUGUAUUUAGAACUGAGACCCUUCCAACCUCUUUGCCUUGUAGCCGAAAUAAUGAAACCAGCUACCCUUAGGUAAUAAUGUGCAUGCUUGACCUCACUUUUAUCACCCUGUCUCGAACUUCCUGUUUUUACCUCUCCUUUCUAAUUUUCUUACUUAGUUUUUUAAUUUAAUUUUUUCCCCUGAGCAUGCAUGAGCUGUUUUAACUAAAGUGAAGAAUAGAGUUUCUGUGUUUCAGCAUUUUUCCUUCUGUCCCCCCUUUCCUGUCCUGAGGAAAAUCUAUAUUGCCACCUUAGUGUGCCCACUACGGCCACAUGUUUCCAGUCUCCCUAUCUCAUGUCUCCAGAUGUCUUCUCAACAUCAUGCUCAUUUUAAAUUUUUUGUGCUGUUUCCCCCUUUGGGCUUCCAGGCACGGCUCUGCACGUGAGCUUAGCCAAAAGGCUGAAAGGUCUUCAUUCUGCAAACGUGACGAACGCAGUGGUUUUCAGCACGUGGGUCACGACCCCUCAGGGGUUAAAUGACUCUCACAGAGGUGCUUAAGACCAUCGGAAAACACAGAUAUUUACACUAUGAUCCGCAACAGCAGCAACAUCGCAGUUAAGGAGUAGCAAUAAUAAUCUUACGGUCGGGGUCAGCACACCAUGAGAAACUGUAUUAAAGGGGCACAGCAUGAGGAAGGCUGAGAACCAUGGCUCUAAAGGGAUGCCUGCCUGAACCUCUCUCGACAGUUCAGCCCUGAGCUGAGCUUCUCGUCUGCUCACACAUUCUGCUGCUAUUCUUCAGAGCCCUCCCUCAUGAAGCCACCACACCCCCAGGCACAGAUACAGAAGCCAGGGAGUGACCCUGGGCUCCCUUGCCCUGCUUCCCACCCCUCCCUUAAGCCUUCUCUCCUGAUUCUCCACUCCUGCAGCCUUUGCUCAGCCCUCUCAUCACCCUGAUUUCCCCUCAGAGCCCCUGUGUGGGCCAUAUUAUAUGUAUAAUGGCCGUAUUAUUCCCCACGUAAUAGUUUCUCAGGGUCCCUUACAUUGUACAUGAAAAACCUACACUCUUUUAUGCAGCAGACAAGACCCUCUGUAGUUGGGCUGCUGCUCACGUUUCCAGACACAGCUCCUAUCACUUUCUCAUGCAGACUUCGCUUCAGUAACUGAGCUGUGUCCCAGGAACGGCCUCUGAGACUUUGCUCAUGCCAUUCCCUCUCAUUCUUUACGACUUUUGGCUCAAGUUCUCCAGAUCGUUAUCUGGCUUCUUUGAUCUACUAACUUCUCAGUUUGUGGAUUUACCUCUGACUUUCAUCUAAGAUUAGCACUGUUUUGUUUCUGGCUCUGUUACACAUCCUUGCUAGAAAACACUUGACCUCCCUUAGAAACUGGUUCUGUGUGGAGCACACAGUGGGUGCUCAGUGACCUUCCUUAGAAACUGGUCCUGUGUGGAGCACACAGUGGGUGCUCAGUGACCUUCCUUAGAAACUGGUUCUGUGUGGAGCACACAGUGGGUGCUCAGUGACCUUCCUUAGAAACUGGUCCUGUGUGGAGCACACAGUGGGUGCUCAGUGACCUUCCUUAGAAACUGGUCCUGUGUGGAGCACACAGUGGGUGCUCAGUGACCUUCCUUAGAAACUGGUCCUGUGUGGAGCACACAGUGGGUACCCAGUACACAUGUGGGUUCAUGACUCAGUGUCUGUUCAGGAAUGUACUUGCUGUGAUGGAAUGAUUUAGGUGUUUGGGGCAGCAAGUUAAUUUGAACAGAGCAGGAGCACAUGGCUGUUGGCUUCCUAGUAGUUAAGAAACAGCGCCUUGUGACUAUUCAAAGUCAGCUAGGUGCACGGCACUAGAAAAGGGAAGAGACUGUACUUCUAACAGUGAUGACCUGGACUCAGAUUCUUGGGUUCAUGGACAUCGUUGCUGAUGAAACUUUAGCAUGGGGGUGGUCUGGACAGCAGCACCUGCCUUGGCUCUUCAAGAUUCUGGAAAGAGCAUCUGCCAUCACAGAAGACGUGGAGAGAUAUUUUUCUAGCUCAACCACUUUAAUUAGAGGUGAGGCCACUGUGGCAUUUGUUCUGUUGCCCCAGAGCUGAGAGGGACAGAUGUGCAGUGGGCAAUGAAAACAUUCAGCAACUCAAUACCUGAGGAUCGAAGUGGGCUGCUAGGCCGUGGCUGCUGGGAACUUCCACAGCAGAUGGGCCAUGAGGAAAUGAAAAGUCAUUUCCUGCGUGGACAGCCACACUGACAAUGACACUGCUAGGCACCAGAACACCACCUCCACCACACAGAGCACACAGAAAGGAAGACCGUGUACGCCAUGCAUCUCAGUACUUGGGAGGCUGAGGCAGAAGCACUGUGUGGAUUGGAUAUUGAACAUCAGACCAAAGGAAUAUCAUUGAUAGCGAAUCAGGACCUUCCCAAGAUGUUUGACAAGCUUUGGUUGACGAUCUCUUGGAAAGGAGUACAGUGAAGCCAAGAGGGCUACGAGUCAUGUCAACAUCACCGCGCACAUCGAUACGUAGGCAACACAUGUAGCCUUUGAAAAUCCCAUCUCUCCUACCAGCCUUGCAAACACAGGCAAAGCUACUCAAACUGUCUGAGGUUCACCGUCCUUGCCCGAGAGAUGGGGUUAUUAAUAUCAGGCUCCUAGUGAUGACGUGGAUAUGUGUGAGUAUGUGCUCAUGUGCAGCGUGGUAGGGGCUUGGAGGAGGUGCUGGACAGGCCCUGCCUUCGCUUUCCUCUGCUUUCCUUUUCCUCUCUUCCUCUGGGUCAGACUCUGUGCAGAGGGUGUGUACGGAAAACACGAUGCAUGCAGACACCCAGUUUGUGCUCUGGGGUGCUGGACUCUUUGCACUUAAGGUUUUCUUCUUGUACAUUCUCUAAUGCAUUCACCAAAAGCUGCCUGCAGCACUUAUGCACCAGAAAUAUGACCAGCAUGGCUGAGAACUUUAAUUGUUCUGCUUUGAAGAUUUAAAUAAGCAUGGAUGAGAGAUGACACAACUCUAGUUCUACCUCAGACAUGCGCACACACACAUAUACACACACACACACUCAUACACACACACUUAUAAACACAUACACACACUUACACACACUUACACACACACUCAUACACACACUUAUAAACACAUACACACACUUACACACACACUUACACAUACACACACUUACACACAUACAUACUCAUACACACACUUAUAUAUACACACAUACACACUCAUACACACACUUACAUACACACACAUACACACUCAUACACACAUACACACACACUCAUACAUACACACACAUACACACUCAUACACGCACUUAUACAUACACACACAUACACACUCAUACACACACAUACACAUACACACACACUCAUACAUACACACACACUCAUACACACACUUAUAUACACAUACACACACUUACACACAUACACACACUUACACACAUACACACACUUACAUACACAUACACACACUUACACACACAUACACACACUUACACACACAUACACACAUACACACAUGUACACACACACGUACACAUACACACACAGACACAGAGUUAUUCGUCAGGGAAGAAUUAAGAUGCUUUAAAGGAAAACUGUGCACACAACACGCAGAACAGUGCAUCGGACAGUCUUACUUGUCUUUCCAUCUACCAAAUUGUUACCGAUGUAUAAAUGUCAGAUGCUAGCAAUAUGGCAGACACAGGCAAAGCUGCCCUCAGGGAGCCUGCGCCUUAGUGAAGAUACAGGCCAAGAGGUGUUUUCACCAUGUGAGGUAAGCAUAUGCUGUGGGCUGUUGAGACGUCUCUCUUCCAUGCACAGAAGGGGAGAGAUUUACAGAAGGACCUGGCCAGAUCCAAGCUGAGUCUUGCAAAAGUUGAUUUCAGGGUGAGAUCCAACUGAUGUUUGUUCCAUGUGUAACUGAGCCAACUGCUGGUAGGAGAGGUAGGUACAAGGCGAACAUGUGCUAAAGAGAACCCAUGACUAGGGCCCAGUUGUUUUCUUUUAAAAUUGCCCUGUUCCGGAGUGGUGGUGCACUGCGUGAUUGGGGUUCUUUUCUGCCAGCAACACUUUCUUUGACGUGAGGAUAAUAUUUUUGUGAUUCUCUCUCUCCUUCCCUCUCUCUCUCUCUGUUUGUGUUUGUCUGUCUGUCUCUCCGUCUCUGUCUUUCUCUCUCUCUCUGUGGUCAGAAGUCUCCCUCCCUCCCACUUUCUCCACACUAUGAAAUGUGGCCUCUCACUGAACCGGGAGCCCACUGUUGCAGCCAGGCUGGCUGGCCAACCAGCCUCAGGGACCCUCCUCUCUCUCCCUCUCCCCAGCACUGGGAUCAUAGGCACACAGCACGUUCUUUUGUAAAGAGUUCUUCUGUAUGUUGGUGGUGUGAUCUAAACUUGGACUAGUUUUUGCAUGGGCAUGACAAAUGCUCUUCUGAUGAGCAUCUCCUGUCCGCAACGUCCUAACAAACUAUUUUUCCUUGUUCUGGGCUGUGCUGCUGCUGUUUGGUUAGACAAACUUGCUACUUGGCACUGUUGGUUUUGUUGUGGUAGUCUGAUACUUGAUUUAAACAAAUCGCUCUGUGUAUCCGGCCAGAUUAUGAGGAAUGUAAGAGACUAACAGGAGCCUAUUGAGUCUGUUUGUGAAGGUGAUGUAUGCUUGUAAAAGUGAAGAUUACUAUAAGCAUUGUGUGAAGAUGUGGGACAUUAUAUACUUCCGUAUAUUUUAUACAGUAGUUUGAUGUCCUCCGAGUUAAUACAUGAUAUCCAGCCAAAGAACUGCGUAGCCCACAGUCAUUCAUGUAAAAGCAAUACAGUUUUAAAGCCAACGAUGGGUAUAGAGGCCUGUAAACCCAUCAGUUAGGAGGCUGAGGCAGGAGGAUUGCUGUGAAUUUGAGGCUAGCCUAGUCUACAUUAGUGAGACCUUGCCUUGGAAAACAGCAAUAAAUAACUAUGGCCUUAUAUGAAAUAGUUUACUCACCCAUAUUUGAGGGUAUAAAUUAGGUGGUAUUUAUGGCUUCUCCCACUGGACUUGGGACGGUCAUGUCUGUGGCUUUGUCCUGUGAAGUUCUGGACAAUUCUUGAGUAGCUAAGAGUUACCUACUAGCUAGGGGCUGGGGAUUUAGCUCAGUGGUAGAGCGCUUACCUAGGAAGCGCAAGGCCCUGGGUUCGGUCCCCAGCUCCGGAAAAAAGAACCAAAAAAAAAAAAAAAAAAAAAAAGAGUUACCUACUUAGACUGUGGUACAGCCGCCCUAGGGAAACGGAAGUGUAAGUCAGUGUAGCUCUUUUGUACCUAAAAGAACAGUGGCUUCUCGUGUACCUAUAAGGAAUCUCCUAUUAGUCAUACCCUCUGGCUUGGUGAUUCCUCUUCUGGGAAUCUACCUGAAAGAGGGAGCUGGACAUGAGUGUGGGAGAUUUUGCCCGGAAUUAUUUGAGGUUGCUAAAGAGAGCACGCGACUUAAAUAGCCCAACAAUACACAGUUGGGAAAUGCUGGUGGUGAGGGAUGCUCACUAGAACACCAAUAGAGGAAAAACGAAACAAAACAAACCCCAGAGGAGUGAUGGCGACCGCACCUCGGAGUCGGUGAGCUUGGACUGGCACCGUGGCUCGGCACCGGAGCGAGUCACCUGUACAUUAUGCCAUCCUAGAAAAACGGGGUUGAUAAUAAUAACACCUAUCUCAGAGGGACUUCCUAGGACUCAGUGACAUAAUGGAGAUAAAAUGAUUAAAACCAUGCAAAGUACAUUUAUUAGGUUACCUAAAAUGCUGGCCCUCUACGGAGCGUACGGUUUCAAGGCAUAAAAAUAGACGGAAGAGAAAUAUGUCAAUGUAUUAAAAACGUGGGGUCUGGGUGGUAGGAAUCUUGGGCAAUAUAAUUUCUUUUUACUUUUUACUCCCCAAAUCUUCUGCAAUGAGCAGGAAGUACUAUUAUAUUAGGAGUAUAUCAUAAUAUUGUAAUUCAAUAUGAUACUUUUUAAAAAAAGAAUGCUACCCACAAUGAAACAGCACUUCCUCUUUCCCUGUCUCACAAGUGCGGGCCUCUGGGAGGGGCAGGCCAUGUCGGGUGGGGACUGGGGUCAUUGACCCAGGUUGAUGUGUGGGCAGCAGAAAAGCUGGAGUAGAUGGCCUCUGGUGUCCCUUCCACCGUCCACAGGGGACGCUACCUUCCAGGCUGCUGUGAUGUUUAUCGUCUCCCUAAUCAUUUCAGUUGAUCUGAACAAAAGACUAACAGAAAAACAUCAGGUGAAUGGGGGCUGGGAGGUGGCUCAUGGGUAAAAUGUCUGUGGCUGGAGCAUGGGGAUCUGAGUUCCAAUCCUCACACCAUGUAGAGAGCAGGCAAGGCAGCUGUGGUACAGCACCAAGGAGGCAGAGCUAGGAGGGUUCCCAGGCUUCAUGCCCAGCCAGUCUAGCUGAACCAGUCAGCUCUGUUUAGUGAGACCCUGUCUCUAAAAAUAAGGUGGAAAGUGAUAGAGGAUCUCUCUCUCUCUGUCUCUCUCUCUGUCUCUGUCUCUCUCUCUGUCUCUCUCUCUGUCUCUGUCUCUCUCUCUGUCUCUCUCUCUGUCUCUCUCUGUCUCUCUCUCUCUGUCUCUCUCUCUCUCUCCCUCUCACCCUCUCUCCUUCCCCCUCCCCCUCCUCUUCUCCUCCCCCCUUCUCCCUCCCCCUGCCCCUCUUGUGUGUCCGAGUUCUCGUACAGAUACACAACAUGUAUAAACAUGUAUAUGCAUGAGGAGGCAUGUACACACAGAGAAGCAUGGAAUACAUACACACAGACAUUGAGCAUGCACACACAGGCAUAGGGCAUGUACAUACAGACAAGAGAAACAUGGAACAUAUAUACACACAGGCAUCACACACACACACACACACACACACACACACACACACACACACACUUCCUACCUCCAGAUCUUUCCCAGAAUCAAUAAUGCCUAGAUGGCUGGAGUUACAUGUUAAAGGGAUGGGGUGGUGUGGUGCUUAGAUCAGAACAGAAGCACCACAGGAAAUUAGCUUAGUUGCAGCUGUUUUAUUUAAUGAGUAUAAUUUAUAUUCAAAGUGGAAUUUCUGGCAAAUACAACCCUUUAAGCAAGAACCACCUUUCCAUGUUAGGGGACACCCAUAGACUGGGAAGGGUAUAGUUGUAAAAGAGUCUCUUUCUGUGCUCUCUCUGACUCUGUCUGUCUCUCUGUCUCUCUGUCUCUCUCUCCGUCUCUCUGUCUCUCUGUCUCUCUGUCUCUCUGUCUCUCUGUCUCUCUCUCUCUCUCUCUCUCUCUCUCUCUCUGUGUGUGUGUGUGUGUGUGUGUGUGUGUGUGUGUGUGUGUGUAUUUGGUUUCUGAUGUUUGCACUGUGAGCCAUGUCAGUCCUUCAGUCCUUUGUUGACUGUGGGGAUACCCUGUGCUCCAGCAAGUGGAUCUUGGAGCUAUGUUUUAUGAACACUGAAUCCCAGCUGCCAAGAUAACAAAGUCGAUGUCCCCAUCCAGACCAGAGGGGCAGUUUCCAGUUUUGUGUCUGACUACUGUCCCUCAUUAUGUUUGGAGGUGGUCGUUGUACGUCUCUAGAUCUGUGAUGUGUUCCCUAAGGCUCUGAAACGAAAGCUGACAGAUAGCUCGCCUAGGUCCUCCACCCCACAGGGAGGUCAUCGUAUGCUAAUGAGGCACAGACAGAUAACCUUGCAGCUUGGACAAGUGAGCCGGCAGGUCCACCCAGCACUCCCGAACUAACGCCACUCUGGUUCAGUCACAAGUCACCUCGCUCCCCAGCAGACCCUCGUGAUGCCCCUGGCGACUGAGGGAGGGGUCUCUUCGCUACCCUGCUACCCAGAAUUGCACAGCAGGACUGCUUGUUUCUGGUGCUUUUCUUCCCUAUACGCUGGCGGCAGGGAUGGAAGCAUUCCUCCAGAAUCACCUGUAGGGCUUUUAAGAACUCCACAGCCCCCUCCUCAAAUUCUAGUUCACUAGGACUAUUAGGAGAUAUGAGGUGCGGGGGCCCGAUGGAGUUCUCGUACACCCCACAGCCCCACAGGUGAUUGUGGAUGCUCCCCUAUAGAUACCAACACAGACAUGCCUUGUGACCCAAAAGAAACAGGUCACUUUUAGAUUCCCACGACGCUUCCCCUUUUAUUUGCCAAGGGGUCUGUAUUCUGUUCAGCUCCUCUCUAAGCCUCCCCCUCCACCCCCGCCCUAGAGGCUUUGAACUUGGAGUGUCCCGAAGUCUCAGAACCCUGUGGGACUGUCAGAGGCUCUGGCGGCCAGGCAGAGAAAGACAUUCUCUGCUCCCCGCAGCCCUCCGGUUCCUCGUGCCGCGCUCUGGAUACCCGGAGCCAACGUAAGAAAGGCUGACAUUUGACCAGUUGCUUCAGCAAAUUGCCUGAAGCAAGGCCGCUUAUCCUCUGCACACCUUCGUUUUUUUUUUGCACCGACCACACAGGGAGGGGGCCCCACCCUGCACAGUCCACUGGCGCAUCCCCUCUGGCCCGGGUUUGUGGCAGGUGGCGCUGUCAGGAUGGGCGCAGGGGCCUCUUCUGCAGCUCCUUUCCCAGCCACGGACCCACUCUCGCUUUGCCCUGGCUUUCCAAGUUGCUGCUGGGUUCCCCCAAACUGGUGACCCCCGGUUCGCGGCCGCGGUCUUACCUCACCAUGCAACACUUGGUUGCGCGCUUGCCGGGGAGCUCCCUCCUAGCCGCUUAUUCCCUUACUUGGGAGGAAAGAGGAACCGAGAGACAGAAGGGGACCGAAGCGGGCGCCCGGGCGUUCUCCCGGUGCAGCCCUCUCUGGGGCGGAGACGUCAGGCAGCCACCAGGGUUGGCGCCCCAGGGUCUUCCGCCUCUGCUAGGGGCUGGGUGGCUGGAAGGGGAGGCUACCUCCUCUACCCGCUACGGCACUGCGGCUCUGCACCCUGUCCCUAGCAGCAUGGCAAGUCCAGCUGCCACUCUCGCUGCGGAGCCCUGCCCCCCGGGCGCAGAGACCGCCCCCGCCACACACACCCGCGCGCGCAGACACACGCGCCCCCCACAAACACACGGGUGCACACACAUAAACACGUGCUGCGCGCACACCCACGGAUGCCGAGCCUCUGUGCAUGGGAACCUCUGUGCAUGAUCAGGGCACUCCUGGCUGGCUUUAGUCAGAGUGCUGGUUGGUGGCUGUGAGAAAUCAGCUGACAACGAGGUAGAGGACAUUACUUGAAAAAUCCAGUGUCCUCUGGCUGUUUACUUUCCUUAACCUAGAAACCUAGGAGGAGUCCGGGAUGCCUAAAUAUUUCAACCAAAGCAAAAAAAAAAAUUGUAAACAUAAAAAUAAAUCAACAAGUUCUGUUUUCUAGGAACCCGUUGUCUCUGAUGUCUAUUGUCAUCGGUCCCGUCCAGAAGGACAUUUCUGACAAUCUUGACCCAGUGGCAGUAGAUUGGUGAUCAUUUCUCCUCAGCAGGCCUACAUGGUCGGGAUCGAUCUAGCUAAGCAGAAAGGGGCUCUGAUGGAUGGGUAAGGUUGUGAUUUUCCUUCUUUUCCUGUGCAUGACAUUGGGCUGUCUCCUACAGGACAAAUAGAACACUUCUAAAACAAACAAAUACACAUGCGCAAGAAAAAAGAGAAAGAAAAAAAAAGUAAAAGUAGAAAACUAGAGAUGAUGACGUGGGGCUGAGGGUAGGGCACCGGAGGCAGCAGUGGCAGAGGCACAGGGACCCGUGGGACCUUCUCUUUCCAUGACGCGGGUGUCUGCGUGGGGUGGUGGCGGCCGUGAUGUUAUUUCAGCAGAAUGACUUUUGUCCGUUUCACACCACAUUUAGAGUCACCAGGAGUUUACUCUCAUCUGUAAAAUAUGUGGAGUUCACCCGUUUCCACAGCCAAGAAUUCCCUUCUGCCAGUGGGCAGUGGAGGUCCCUGGGUGGAACCGCAGCCAAGAAAAGCUUUCUGCAAAGGGCAGAGGAGCAGGGGGCUGGGUGUCUAGGCAUCUGGGGAGGAAGCUGCAGAUGUGACUGUUGCAAAGCACUGAAGGACCCGGGUGGUUAAUUCAUCCCCGGCUACUAGCAGGCAGGGUGAUGAAACCAAGAAGAGACAGAGGCCCUGAGAACUCUUACACUUCCUUCCCCACUCGAUAAGGGCGAAGCAGAUGAAUGGAUGGAUGCUGGUACUCUGUGCUCAUACGUCAGCCGUCAGCCACGAUCCACUCUUUAAUCCACCUUCCCUGGGGAGCUUCUCAGAGCUACCCUCAGCCAGGCCGACACACUUGGUGUGAGCGCGUUCUGCGACACAUGCGUGAGUUCAUCCUUUAUCUUCUUGUUUCCAUGUCACGUACUGACGUACUCAUUCUGAGAAUAUUCAUUAGAGUUCCCGCUAUCCUUUCGAGCACUUCCCACUGACUCCGGUCACGGACCUCGCCUGGGAGAAAAGAGGAAUGGAAAGACAGGAAGGGCUUAGAAAUGUUUGCAGCCUGUCCUUUUCAAAGUCAGGCUCCAAGCUCGGGUUUACUGUACACACGUUCACUGAACACAGGCCUACUGUAUACAUCUUCUUUGAGCACAGGUUUACUGUAUCUAUAAUUACUGAUCACAGGUCUAAUGUAUACAUGUUUAGUGAGCACAGGCCUACUGUAUACCUAUUCACUGGACAUAGGCUUACUGUAUACAUCUUCACUGGGCAUCGGCCUGCUAUAGACAUAUUCACUGGGCACAGGCCUACUGUAUACAUCACCUUCACUGUGCACAGGCCUGCCUACUGUAUACAUGUUCAUUGAACAAAGGCCUACUGUAUACAUCUUCACUGGGCACAGGUCUACUGUAUACAUCAUCUUCACUGUGCUGGGCUGAAUGACUAUGGAAGAUGGAGUCCUUAUCUUCUGAACUGCAUCCCUGAGGAGGCCAACACAGUUGUACAUGUGUCACAGAAAACCAUUUGGCGGGGCUGGGGAUUUAGCUCAGUGGUAGAGCGCUUACCUAGGAAGCGCAAGGCCCUGGGUUCGGUCCCCAGCUCCGGAAAAAAAAAAAAAAAGAAAAAAGAAAAGAAAACCAUUUGGCUCUCCCUAGGCCAGACUCAUUCUAGAGAAGGCCGACUUGAAGGAGAACCCAGAUGGGGAAGUCAUGGUUGCAGCAGGAGCUGGGACAACAUGGAGCUGUUCUGUCCUUUACAGUAAGGAAAUAAUAAGGUUGAUGGGACACAUGGGGAAGGCGGGCAGAAGUAGAGUGAAGCGAUCCAACUUGGCAUGCCGGGGAAGUUAUUAUAUAACAAUAAGAAACUCUGCAAAGGGUGCCAAGCGAGAAUUUGGAGAACAGAAGUGCUUAUAAAGAUUGGUAAAUAUGAAGGUGCUUGUUCCUAUAAAAUACACCAUUUAUGAAGUCAAAAGUGUUCGCCAAACGGGUUUGUGAAUAGACUCCUUUGGGGGAUUCAGUGGUGGUGCAGAGCUAAGCAUCUAAGCACACACAGGGUAAGCACACAAAGCCUUGCUGACAGGGGCGAAGAAAUGUCGGGUUGAGUUCCAUUCCAGUGACAUGCGGGAAAAGUGUCCUGAUGAAGGUCAGAGCAAUGUGGAAGGCACAAGUAAAACAAAACGUGGAGGGGGCAGGUUGGGCAUGCGAUUGGAAAGAUGAGUGGUGUUUGCCUCAAAGGCCAGGAGAAAAUGGACACUUUUAUAAAAGGUUGAGAGGAGAGGUGUGGGAGAGAGCCUCCAAGUACUCUACAUACCCUGCUUGGGGUGGAGACACAGUGAGGUAAACUCUUUUUUUUCUCUUUGCAUGUGCAUGUUGUGUGUGUGUGUGUGUGUGUGUGUGUGUGUGUGUGUGUGUGUAUGCAUGCACUUAUAUGUGUGUUUCUGUGUCUGUAUGUAUGUUCCUUUUAUUUCCUUCAGACAAGAGGGUACUUGUGAGCAAGUUGGGAAGUGCCUGAAGCCAGCUUUCCCAAGGCAGGAGGUGUCCCCCAUGGGAAUGGAGAAUUGAGGAGUACUGUGGGGGAGAACUAUCUCUUGCAAGGAGCCACAGCCCAGGUGAUACAAGUGUCUCACUCUAUAACAUCUCCAACCCAGGGGACGAAACCCCACCCAUGUUCUUCUUGCCUGGCCGUGAGCCCUAUCUGCCUGGGAGGGAGGGCUACCCUUUCUCCAAUUGGCACACAGGCCUGACUGCUAAGCACUUUGCACACACGGAUGCCGUGGUUCAACUGGUAAGGAUUUAUGGAACACCUGCUGUACGCGCAGACUCUGGGUGAGCUGGAGGAGGCCGAGAGCGUCUCCAUUCCUAGGUGACACUCUCGGAUACACUGUGAAUACAGAGGAGGAAGCUGGCUUCUCUCUUUCGAGACUUUACAGUCCGUGCCAGCUACAAUCAGACAGUGGAAACGGUUAAGAAGCAAAGAACAAAAUAGAGAAUCAAAUGCCACACUGUAGAGCGCAGGCCCUCGGUGCGAGAGAAAGCAUCGCCCUGGACUUCCUCGAGGAGGAGGGCAGAGUUUUAAGAAUGGCACCUAUGUCCAUUUUCAGCCAGAGAAGAAGCUGUGGGUGGGACCAGAGGUGGUCAAGUUAUCUGGGGCCUCCCCGUGAAGAUUUCCAAGCCCAGCGGCUUCCCUGGUGCCUCUCCCAGUCACGGAGCACUCUGAUGAGUCACCCUUAUUUCUGAGAGACAGGGCAGUUUCGGGUGUUUAGCUGGCUCAACGCGUUGCAUUUCCUGAGCCUCCAAUGCUGGCAGCUCGCGCUCUCGCUCUGGGAACACAUCAUCCGAGCCAGCAGGUGUUGCCUGAUCACCAUCUCCACAGCAAAGCGAGGGCUGAGUCAGCCACCUGUGUCUGGAAAUUUUUAAGUCCAACGGUCUGUGACAAGUAGGUUGACAGUCGGCUCUCCGAGCACACCAAGACCAGGGCUACUAAGCGCCAGGUAGCUCAGUGGUUGGAGAUGUGAAGACCUGGCUUUGGGGACCUUGGGUUACCUUUCUAGACCUCACCUUUGUCACACACAGAGGACUCAGCGUUACAGCAGAUCGGCAUGCUCGCUUUGGACUUUGCAAUCAAAACGGGAUCUUUCUGCUCUCCCGAGCUGGCUUCAUCUAGUCCUCCUGGCCUUGCCUAACCUUGACUUUGGUGAUGAAGGCAGGGCUGCCCCUGGCACGUGCAUGAGCUUCUGGGAUGGAGAGAACAUAACCCCAGUUUCACCUUGAGUGGGGCUCACAGACCCACCCUCGAGAACAUAGGCAUAUUAUCCUCUCCAUGGGCCUCAGGGUUUGGUUUCACAGGAAAAAACAGAGGUCGGAGAUGGUCUCUACCACCAUUCCCGGCUCUCGUAUGCUGUUAAAUACUGCCACAGUGUUCCUAAACACUGCUGAUCACUUGGGUGGGACCCUCUAACGCAGCAGCCCGGAAAAAUCCUCACGACAGCAUGGCUAAACUUUGAAAAAAAAGCAUAAAAGGAAGCCAAAGUCUCGAAGGUCUCAGGAGUAAGAAACAGAUAUAAAUUCAAAUGAGGUCAGGCCAUCUGAACCCACUUUCUCUCUAGAAUGACACAGAAGCAGACGUGUGUGCAGGCUUCCACCAGCUUUACUCUGUUAUUACCUGAGGCAGAGUCUUUCCUGUAGCUCAGGAUGGCCUCAAAUGCCCAGCUCUCUGGCCUCAGCUUCCAAGGGCUAGGCGUCUGCCACCACCCUUGCCCCUCUGUCAGUUUCAGAAGUGCCGUGUAAGAACUCGGCUGAGGGUGGAAGAUGAUUUCUUCCCCUAACCGUCUGGAAGGAAGAAAAAUGCUGACCUGUGGUAAUACUCCCUCAAUCGUCUGCUUGCUAAGGGACAGCAAUGCACCACGGGCCAGGAACUCUGUCUCCGUGCUCCUAACAAUAGUAACUUAAAAAAAAUUAGAAUGGCAAUAUUUUUAACAUGUACAGUUAAUAAAUGUGCUGGCCCACAUUCAGGGCUGACUGCGGAACUCUUCCCGUGCCUGGAGCUAACUGUGCAGUGGCCCCGCAGUGGCCCUCGGCGGCCCUUGGUGGCUGUCUGGGGAAAGGUGAUGAAGAUACCUACCCACCUGAGGUCCCUUUAUGCUUAUUGUCUACAGGAAGACGGAUGGUGCCAAGAAGGGAAGGGAGGUGCGAGCAGGGUGUGCGAAAAGGCAGGAGAGAGCUUUCACCUUCCUGAGUAUUUUCGGCAAUGGGCUCUAAUCAUCCUGCUUGCGUGGGCUGGUAAAGAGGCUAAUUUUGGUUCGCUGCAUGACCCUGGGUCUGCGUUCUUUGCCGCCUGACCAGGAGCUGCUGCAGUGGAAUUCCUCAGUGAAUCUUCAGGGCGGGGUGGGCUGGGGAGGGGAUCGGUUCAUGUGUAUUGCCAGGAACCUCCCCGGGGAGGAGCAGGUCCUAAUUCCAGAAAUGACCAUAAACACUAAAGCCUGCCUCGCCACAGGACUUUCAAGAGGAUUGGAAUGUUUUUAGAAUUACCAGCCGCUUCUUUAUUUCUUGUUAACCAAUUUGGGGGGAAGGGGCAAAAAUGUCACAGAAGACAAGGAAUCAAGGGGGCCCCUGGUGCCAUGUCUCUCAUCCAUUCUUCCACCCUCUCCUGCCAGAAUUGCUGUGCUAGUUAGGGUUUUUAUUGCUUUGCUCGUUUCAACUGUAACUCUCAGGUGACACUCCAUCCCCGACGGCAGUCAGGACAGGGACGCAAAGGAACCUGAAGGCAGGAGGUGAUACAGAAGCCAUGGGGCAUGCCGGCUACCACCUUGCUCCCCACGCCAUGCUCAGCUUUCUGUUUUAUACAAACCAGGUCUACCUGUCCAGGGGCAGCAACACUCCCAGUGAACUGAGCCCUCCCACAGCCAUCAUUAAUCAAGAAAAUGCCCCUUCCAACUUGCCUCCCGCGAUCGAAUUGAGGCGUUUCCUCAAUCGCAGUCCCCUUCCCCAGAGAAACCAUAGCUUGUGUUAAGUUGACAAAACCAACCAGGACAGUUGCGUUUGAAAGUCCUCCACGUGUUCAGAAGUCCUCAGAGCAUUGGAUUCCUUGUCCUGAAAUAGCUGUCACCCGACUUGGGCAUAGGCAUAGGGGUAGAGGAUAAGCGACUGGGCAAUCUAACACAGAAUGAGUCAUGUAGCAGCCUGGUGAAUGAUGUGGCUGUGGCCACUGCUUUACAGUGAAGCCAGCUUUCCCUGAAUGACAUUCAUGGUCAUACGUGAAAUAGUCUUACUCAUCCGCUCGGGCUAUAGCGCCAUCUUCCAAACACACUUCACCCACCUGUUCCGUCUUCAGCUAGGAGGUGCUGGUUCACUGGAAGUGAAGACCUGCUGUCCUGCACCUACCUCUCCUCUUCCUCAUCCUCGUCAUUCUCCUCCUCUUCCUCCUAAGUUCCUUCUAAGGUUCGAGCUCCUAAAUCGACCCUGCUGUGCUCACACUAAAACCUCCUCAUGAUCCAUUUGAGUGUUUACAGGCUGCCUGGCACUUUGGUUUGCCCACGAGCACUUCACGUCUGCUGCCCUAUCCCAUCAGAGGGACAGGCAGCCAUCGAGCUCAUCCCUAGAUUGUACCUUAAUUGCUUUCCCAUCAUGCUCCAAGUGCUGCACACAGUCCAGUGUCGAGAACGCCAACCUCAAACACUGGCAUUACGUUUCUAGAACUGGAAGGGAAUAAAAGAAAAUCUGUCACCGGGCUCCUACUGCAUGCUAAAUGUCUGUGGUCUUGUACACAACUGUCUCAAGGGCUUUGCUUUGCAGGGGAUGGUGGCUUGGGAUGUCCUAACCAGUAGCCAGCCAGAUUGGGGCAGGGGGGGGGGGAGAUUCCCCACUUCCUCUAAAGGUUUCUCCAAUUUUGAUUUUCCUUCUACAGAAUUUCUGAACAACUUUUGCUGUAUUAUAGAAAAUUAGCUUAUCGUUAUACAGUCUUGUGACUUCAUAGGUGUGGAGCUUACGAUAAUAAAACAAGUGACUGUUCUCUUUCUCUGACUUUCUCCAAAUACAUCACUACAGUCAUGCCACUCUUCCGAGCAUGGACCUAGAGUAAAUAGUCGGGGGGGGGGGGAAGUGUGACAGACAGAAGACCCAGGGAAGAGGCCAUUUCCCAAUCCUACAAAGCCCUUUAAGUCUAGUCUGAUUGCCAGCACCCCAGGCAGCUUGGCUAUUAAAUGAAUGGUAGAAUCUCUUCUAUUUCUGGUCCGCGCUCUUGACUUAACUCCCUGGUCUGCACACUUCCUGGGAAGGGGUAGGUGCUUGCUUGCCUCAGAGAGGCAGCAUCAUCCUAGGCAGAGGUGGUGUGGCCUCCUCUUUCCUAGAUAUGCUGUCUGUAUUGGCUGUGAGACUCUCAUGGCCUUCCCCUGACACCCUGAUUCUCCAGGAGAGAACGGAAUUCUGACUUUUGAACAACACCGACUGGCGACUUUGUGCUUCCUGAAGCCAGAGCAACAGUCUAACGGCUUCCAGCACUGUCCCUUGAUCAGAGGCUACUGUGGAGUCUGACACACUUUGCAUAUCUGUUUUGUGAUGUUUAUGGGAAAGCACAGCUCUCUAGCUUUCUCCUGCUGUCCUCUGAUGAGUCUCAGGUUCGAGCUAUGCCGUCAGCCACUCUUCUGAUCACGGUUUAUGAGGAAGUGUAUCUGAGUUUCAAACAACUAUUUCAUAAAUAGACUUCCAGAACACAACGUGUUCCUAAGUAGGGAACUGUCUGUGUUUCAAAGCCUUUGUAGCGAUUUGUCUGAGAAGAGGAUUUUUACAAUUGGCCCUAGAAGGACGCGGACCAAGGACUCCGUGCCUCUCCAAGUCGUCUUCUUGCAGAUGGCUGGCUAGUUUCACAGAGUGCUUGUCUGCACAUUGUUUCUAGGUGUUUCCAAGGGUUUAGACAGCUUGGGGUACUGAGCUCAGAGGUGUGGGGAGUAGGCUUUCUCAUUUCAAAGCAUGUUUAUGUAAUACAAGAGCCUUGUGCAGAAGCCUCUGCCAGGGGUUCACCGCUGCGAAGUCAGACAGGAGUGUUGCUCUGUGUCCCAGAGGAGCCCACACUCUUGCGGUUGGAACAUAAUGUGGCAUUGCAGGGGGACUGUGGUGGUGAGAGAGGUGCAGUAGGGUACAGUCUAAAAGGGAGAGAGUCAAGCACAAGAGAGGACUCGCGGCACCCUGGGUGACCUUUCCACACAUCCGUUUCAGAGAAUGAUACCUUCUUUUGCUUUGAGUGAACUCGACCUCUGCUGGGCUAAGGAUGCAAAGCAGCCAGAUACUCCUUUAGUAUGUGUCGCAACUGUCAACUGCUCAUGUCCCAGGCUAAAGUGUGAGCAGAGCUAGAAGCCAGGGGAAUAGAUGCACGACGGUAAUAGAAAAGGUGGGAGGCAGAGGGCAUUUUACCUCCUGUCUACCCAUAGACAUUAUGUUUUGCAGACAGAAAGCUGCUCCCAUGCCAUGUCCCUCUGUUGGUUCAGGCUUUAUCCACUGUAAUCCCAAGGGUUGGCAGAUGGUCCAGACCCAGGACUCUCCCAAGAGGCAAUGCUAGAAGUCAUGGUGCCCAUCUCUGCCCGAUCCAAUGACAUCUCUUGGUAGAUCCAAACCAGCUGUGGUGUAUGCUCUUACACGGCAACCACCAGAAAAUGCUGUAGCCUAGGCCUCCCAUUUCUAGGCUGGUUAAGUGCUUACCAGCAAGAGUCUCACACUGAGGUAAAGGUAUUGGCUGGCUUCCGGUUCUAACCGGUGGAUGACCGGCCUGCUCUUCUGUUCUGAGAACUUCCAUUGAACCCCUAGGUGGACACUCCUAGGGACUCUCAGACUGGUGUUGCCCUUCACUGGGUCCUUUAGUAGAAGCUCUUUGGAGGUGUUGGGGGUGAGAACUUCAGGGAGCUGAUUUUGGAUGAUGCUUCCCUCAAUGGUAUAGAGGGCACAGGUGUGUGCACGGGUGAAUGCAUUCACAUAUGUGUAAGCAUGCAUACACACAUGCACAUAUGCAUACACAUGCUUGCACACACACAUGCACAAACUCUCAAAUGUCCCCCUCCCCCCCGAGACAUAUCGCUGUCACUGCACAGUGAACAUGUCUCUUCCUUGGGUUCGGAGGCAAAGUCUGAAGCGCAUCUCUACAUGUUUUAGAUUUCUCCUUUAUCUCCACAUUGGCUUAUUAAAAUCAACAUGCAUUUUAGCUUCAACUCCAUGACCUUUUAACCUAGAUGUGACUGGCAGAAAUUUGCUGUUUGUCUUGCCUUUUGCUUUACGGGCUGUAAAGAGAGAUACAGACGAGUCCCUCGGUUGAUGGCCUGCACUCACUGCUUCUUGUAUUUGGAAUAUGUUAAGCUCAAAAAGCAACAGAGAGACGUGUUUUCUGCAGCCUUGGUAGUGAUGUAACCUCAGUUCUGAAGCCUCAAAACAGGAGCAUCUGGGAGCGCGACCUAUCCGCCACCGACCACGGGCAGGAUCAGCUUCUUCAUUGGAUUCUGGAUGCUGGUUUUACUGCUUCCUUCUGCUGACAAUUAAAUUUGACAGCCACGUAAGAGAGUGAUUGAUGCUGCUUGGCGUUAUGCAGUUUAUACGGAAUUUCUAAUCCUUUUGGAAUCUCAAAGCUACUACAAAGGAAAAAUGAAAAAGAAAAGAAAAAAAAAAAAGGAUAGGUAUUCUGGGCCUAUUCUGGCCGGGCUCUGUCUUGAAGGAUACAUCAUUUUGUCUUCUCCAUCACCCUGUAAGGAGAAGGUGGGGACCUCAGCUGAGUCAGGUGAUGUGCCUGAGGUCACCCUAGGGGUGCGGUGACAGGAGACACUGUCUCUAGGCAUCAAGGCCUGGGUCCUUCCAUUUUCCAAAAGUGAUUUUUCAAGAUCCACCUUUCCCUUAACCAAGAGGGGUUCGGCAGAGCACCUUGGGUGGGAGGAUGUGUGCAGAGGAUGGUGGGUAGUCGGUGUCCUUUCUGACCUGGAGAGACAGAGCAGGUCCGUGGGUGCAGGAAUAUCCUUGGCUUGCCGGCUGAAGCCUGAGUAACCAGUGAAACUGUCCACCACCUUCACUGUGCCAGUCACCUCACGGAGUCGAGUCUCAGCCUGACCCUGCAAGGUGGGUACUCACAGCUACUCUAACGAUGGAAGGAUGGAGGCUAGAGGAGCUCACCAGCUCUGCCAAGGUUACACAGCCGGGCUUUGCCUCCUGGGAUUGAAGGCGAGACUUUGUGCUCUAAACUGCGGUCCUUCUGCCCUGCUGAGUCCACGUAGUGACCCGGGCUCUCGCUCU